AAUCGGUGAGGCAGAGAGCUUGUUAGCAGGACUUCAUCUCAUUUUGCUGAGUUGUCAAUUUCCACUCCUCACCCUUCUGUGUGUCUGUGAGCUUUAUCUUUCCUGGUCACGUGACAUGACCUGGUUUUUGUUGUUUUUUUUUUUUUUCUAUAACAAUUCUACUUCCAGUUCUCCCUGGAUCUCUCGAGUUUUUCACAGACAUUCUUGUGUAUUCGGUAAGGGCCCUUCCAUCUGCACGAAUAUGAGUCAAAUCUGAAGGGCUCAGAACAUUCAGGACAUACACAAAUGUGAUGCAAAAAAACUUAUUUAUUGAAGACAAUUUUGUUAGAGCUGCUGUUUCCAGGAGUCCUAUGAAAUUCUGCUUCCUGACAUCAUCAACCAAAAGAAUUACCUGCACCCAAGCCCUGGUUUCAGGCCUUAUUUGGAAGGAAUUCAAAAUGAAGACCAGUAUCAAUUGCAUUGAUCUUGCUAUAAAUAAGAGAUCCCUUAAUAGGUAUGAAAGUAAGGCGAGAUAUAAAAGUUAUUACCAUUGUAAAAUCUAUGACUAAAAUGGAUUGAAAUUUACAGAACUCCAGAAAAAUAUUUGAUUUAAGUUUGGAAACCAGUUUGUGCACUAACUUGCCAUCAUAUAUUAUAAUUAACUAUUUAAGAUUAAUUUUCACCAUUUCUAGAAAAUCACACUUUCCACAGUCUCCAUGCUUUUGAAAAAUUAGAAGUAAUAUUAUGAAACAAAAAAGACAUUUAUUAAUUUCAUGACUAAGAUAUUUUGAAACACAGCUAUGUGGAAUAUUCCUUAUCUAGGCACUUAAGUAAUAUGUCUUUACAUUUUUAGCACUGCUUUUCAUUUCUUUUAGCCUGCUAUAAGUAUAGCUUAUAAAGUUACCUUACAUAAAAUAUUAUGCAAAACUUUCAGUAAAAAUAUAACCAAGAAAAUAUUGAUUUGACUUUAAUAAUGACUCAUAGAAUUAUAAUAUUUUACAUUUCUAAAACCCAUCAAAAUUUUUGAACAAGGGAACUUUUACAGUCAGUCCAACAUUCCACUUAAAUUUAAGUCACAAUUAUUAUUAAGAGCUCACUAGGAACCAAACUGGCAGAAAAAACUCUUUUCCUAAAUACAUCUCAAUAAGCUUAAGUGUAUGCUAGUAUUUGGAAAUAGACCUUACAUUUCAUUUUAUUCUCUGGUUGUAUGCACAGCAACAAUUCACUUGUAGUUCCAAAAUUUAUUUCCAUUGAGUUUUAUUUUUUUUUGUAUAUAUCUUGUUUUGUAUUGCUUCUUUUCUUUAAUAUUCUUUUGAAUAAAAUUUUUUAAUGGCUUGUCAUCUUCUUGAUAGCAUGAGAAAUUGUUGAAACAAAUGAUUCUUGCUUCCAUUGUAAAUAAAAUAAAUGGGUCAUUUGCUGGGUUAAUAUGGAAUAUUUAUAUCAACUAUGUCACAUGUAACUGCUUUCCUUUGUAAAUGAUAUACAAACUUGCCAUGAAAAAGAUCAAUUGUGUAAAUCAACUAUCAAGAUUAAAUUUAUCAAAUCCUUUUAUUUUAAUGGAAUUUUAUUGGCUGACUUUAGAAAGUUUUCUCAUUAAAACAAUCUUUGCUCUCCUUGAUUAUAUGGCUUCAGAAUGUUGGAAUUUUAAAGCUAUAUUUGCAUAAACCUAACCAUGGUUGCCUAUCAAAUAUUUUCCAAAAGCUUCUCAAUAAUAUUGCCAUUUAUUUUCUUUUCCAUGGGGAUGCAGCAGACACAUCAUGCAGCCAAUAGGAAAUAAUUUGUCAGCCAAACCACAUUCCAACCUAAUUAUGCCCACCUGGUACAGAGGAACUCUACACAUGUGCAAAGAGUGAUGAAAUGAAUAUGCUGUCUUUUUUAAUGCAAUCAACAGUGAUAUUCAAAUGUGAUUCUUUGCUUGCUGUUAAGUUUUAUU